rnacentral:rRNA from 1 species
AGCGAACGCUGGCGGCAGGCCUAACACAUGCAAGUCGAACGAAGCCUUCGGGCUUAGUGGCGGACGGGUGAGUAACACGUGGGAACGUACCUUUUGGUUCGGAACAACUCAGGGAAACUUGAGCUAAUACCGGAUGAGCCCUUAGGGGGAAAGAUUUAUCGCCGAAAGAGCGGCCCGCGUUAGAUUAGCUAGUUGGUGAGGUAAAGGCUCACCAAGGCAACGAUCUAUAGCUGGUCUGAGAGGAUGAUCAGCCACACUGGGACUGAGACACGGCCCAGACUCCUACGGGAGGCAGCAGUGGGGAAUCUUGCGCAAUGGGCGAAAGCCUGACGCAGCCACGCCGCGUGAAUGAUGAAGGUCUUAGGAUUGUAAAAUUCUUUUACCAGGGACGAUAAUGACGGUACCUGGAGAAAAAGCCCCGGCUAACAUCGUGCCAGCAGCCGCCGUAAUAC